UGGCAUAUGAUGAGGUACUCGGAUUCCCCUGCAAGACAAUAUGGGUGAUGUAAAACCGAGCUUCCGAUGCU
rfam:Populus trichocarpa isolate Nisqually-1 chromosome 15, whole genome shotgun sequence.